UAAGGAAUAUUGGUCAAUGGACGCAAGUCUGAACCAGCCAUGCCGCGUGAAGGAUGAAGGUCCUCUGGAUUGUAAACUUCUUUUAUCUGGGACGAAAACGGGAUUUUUAUCUCAAUUGACGGUACCAGAGGAAUAGGCACCGGCUAACUCCGUGCCAGCAGCCGCGGUAAUACGGAGGGUGCGAGCGUUAUCCGGAUUUACUGGGUUUAAAGGGUGCGUAGGUGGGCUUAUAAGUCAGUGGUGAAAUCUCCGAGCUUAACUUGGAAACUGCCGUUGAUACUAUAGGUCUUGAAUUAUCUGGAGGUAAGCGGAAUAUGUCAUGUAGCGGUGAAAUGCUUAGAUAUGACAUAGAACACCAAUUGCGAAGGCAGCUUACUACAUAUAAAUUGACGCUGAGGCACGAAAGCGUGGGGUUCAAACA
rnacentral:rRNA from 1 species